rnacentral:rRNA from 1 species
GAGUUUGAUCUUGGCUCAGAUUGAACGCUGGCGGCAUGCCUUACACAUGCAAGUCGAACGGCAGCACGGGAGCUUGCUCCUGGUGGGCGAGUGGCGAACGGGUGAGUAAUGCAUCGGAACGUAUCCUGGAGUGGGGGGAUAACGUAGCGAAAGUUACGCUAAUACCGCAUAUUCUGUGAGCAGGAAAGCGGGGGACCUUCGGGCCUCGCGCUCUUGGAGCGGCCGAUGUCGGAUUAGCUAGUUGGUGAGGUAAAGGCUCACCAAGGCGACGAUCCGUAGCAGGUCUGAGAGGAUGAUCUGCCACACUGGAACUGAGACACGGUACCAGACUCCUACGGGAGGCAGC